UUUCUUGAUCUCUGGGUGGUGGUGCAUGGCCGUUCUUAGUUGGUGGAGUGAUUUGUCUGGUUAAUUCCGUUAACGAACGAGACCUUAACCUGCUAUUUAGUCGCUCGGACUCUGUCCGUGCGCACUUCAUAGAGGGACUCUGCGGCGUCAAGCUGGGGUGAGGUUUAAGGCAAUAACAGGUCUGUGAUGCCCUUAGAUGUCCUGGGCUGCACGCGCGCUACACUGAUGCUUGCCUCGUGUUUACCCUCGGCCGAUAGGCCCUGGUAACCCCUAGUCUGCAUCGUGUUUGGGAUUGAUCUUUGCAAUUCUAGAUCAUGAACGAGGAAUGCCUAGUAUGCGCAAGUCAUCAGCUUGUGCAGAUUACGUCCCUGCCCUUCGUACA
rnacentral:rRNA from 1 species